rnacentral:ncRNA from 1 species
GCAUUUAUGCGCAGAUUGGUGUAUUUAUCGAUGGUAUGCAUCGAGAGCUUCAUUUUAGCAUAUUAAUACAAGUUAAUUUAGUGGACCAAUUAUUUCAAUUGAUAAUUGGAAACCUAAAUAUGUUGAAAUAUGUCUUAGAUGAAGUUUUUUUUUUUCAUAUAUGUAACUUUUACUUGAAAUAAUAGUGACAUGUAUCGAUUAUAAUUUUACUAAUUAUAUUUUAUAUGUUGUCGCAUGCGACUUUAUUGAUAAAAAUAAUUGGUAAUAUUAUAAUAUUGUAUGCAAAUAAAGUUACAUCUCGAUGUGAACGUUAAUCACCUAUCUGACCCGUCUUGAAACACGGACCAAGGAGUCUAGCAUAUACGCAAGUUAUUGGGUAGUAAACCUAAUUCAAAAGAAAAAGAAAAAAAAGCAUAAUGAAAGUAAAGAUUAUCUUUAGUAUAAUUGAUAUGUGAUCUAUAUAUAUAUAUAUAUAUAGCGUAACAUAACCCCGUUCAUGUUGCAUGCAAUAGGGCGGAGGUAGAGCGUAUAUGCUGGGACCCGAAAGAUGGUGAACUAUACCUGAGCAGGAUGAAGCCAGAGG